rnacentral:rRNA from 1 species
GACGAACGCUGGCGGCGUGCUUAACACAUGCAAGUCGAACGGUGAACGAGGGAGCUUGCUCCCUCCGGAUCAGUGGCGAACGGGUGAGUAACACGUGAGCAAUCUGCCCCGAACUCUGGGAUAAGCGUUGGAAACGACGUCUAAUACCGGAUACGACGCGGGAGGGCAUCCUCUCCGCGUGGAAAGAACUUCGGUUCGGGAUGAGCUCGCGGCCUCUCAGCUUGUUGGUGAGGUAACGGCUCACCAAGGCGACGACGGGUAGCCGGCCUGAGAGGGUGACCGGCCACACUGGGACUGAGACACGGCCCAGACUCCUACGGGAGGCAGCAGUGGGGAAUAUUGCACAAUGGGCGGAAGCCUGAUGCAGCAACGCCGCGUGAGGGACGACGGCCUUAGGGUUGUAAACCUCUUUUAGCAGGGAAGAAGCGAAAGUGACGGUACCUGAAGAAAAAGCACCGGCUAACUACGUG